GUUGUCUCUUCUUACUGUUAUAUCCUCAGAUCCCAGAAAAGUCCCACCAAGAUUCAGCUGGCAAUCAUUGGGCACUUAUUUGUUGAAUGAAUGAAUGAAGUUUGGAAUUCAGUACUGGUUGGUUAAGAGAAUGGUGACGCUGUUAAUAGAAAUAAAGAGAAAAGGGGAGAAAUAUGAUGACCUUGCUUCUGUGAAGGACAGUGUGACAAGGGCUGAGAGAAGACUGCUGCGCCUCAAGGAGACUGGAGUCAGGACAAGAGGAAAAAACAGAAUGCAAGACCUGUCACUUAGAGAACGUGUCAAGAUUUAGGCUGCUUCAGCAUAUGCCAACAGGGAUAAAUGCCAAUGAUUACAUCAUAGAGGUCAAAUCCAAACCAUUAGGAGGAAAAUGAAACAUCAUCAGAUAGCAGAGCAAGAGAUGCCGUCCAUCCCAACUUGCACUCUCUGCCCAGCAGGUGCCCAGACUUAUGCCAGACCCCUCAGAACU
rnacentral:lncRNA from 1 species